UUUGAACCUAUUGUCUAAGUCAUUGUCACAUGCAAUGUGUUUGAAAUUGGCUUCUCCAAAACAAUACGCCAUAUUCUAAAUUGACUAAGUUGCUAAUCAGCUAACUCAUUGGAAACCUGUUGUGUGCAUGUCUGCUCUGGGUGUGGCUUGUGAUCUCCCAGAUAGCUGUCCAGCCCUGUGAACCAAGGGGAACUCACAUAGCUAGCUCUCCUCCUUUGGAAGUCUAUCCUGAAGACCUCAAGUGACCUUAUCUGUAUUAAAAGUUUUAUUUUAGAAUGAGCUUCUACUACUUGUGUAAUAAUAAAAGUCAUUAUUUUUUUACUAUCUGGGCAAUAAUUAAUUAUAUGAGGAUAUCCACAGGAAUUUAAGGUCAAGCAAGGCCAACAGCUACACAAUGUGCCAAGAAAGACCUUAAUGCAUGAAGCAGCUCCAUGAGUGGUACUCUUCUCUGUCAGAUUGCUCCUCGGAAUGGGAACUAACAUGCACGUGGCUGGCCUGAUCCCCAAGUGUGGGAGAAGGUAACAGUGUCUCCCGGUGGAGUGAACAAUACGUGGAUUUGCAAAGAGGAAACAUCAUUUAAGAAAUAGUGACUAUGGAAUGGCUUACAUAAAUGAAGGUAAAGGAAGAUUAAGACAAUGUAUUGAAGAAGCUUCGUCAUGGAGACAUUAUUUCUGAAAUCAUGAAACUUUUAGAAGAAAACGUAGAAGGUACACUCUUCGACAUGAGUCUUAGCAACAUAUUUUCAAGUGCCAUGUCUGACCGGGCAAGAGAAACGAUAGAAAAAAUAAACAAAUGGGACUACGUCAAACUACAAAGCUUCUGCACAGCAAAGAAAACCAUCAACAAAACGAAAAGACAACCUAACAAUUGGGAGAAGAUAUUUGCAAAUCAUACAUCUGAUAAGGGGUUAAUCUCCAAAAUAUAUAAAGAAUUCAUACAGCUCAACCACCAAAAACUAACAACCCAGUUAAAAAAUGGGCAAAAGACCUGAACAGACAUUUCUCCAAAGAAGAUACACAGAUGGCCAACAGGCACAUGAAAAGAUGUUCAACAUCACUAACUAUCAGGGAAAUGCAAAUCAAAACUACAAUGAGAUAUCACCUCACGCCCGUCAGAAUGGCUAUAAUUAACAAGACAGGUAACAAUAUGUGUUGGAGAGGAUGUGGAAAGAAGUGAACUCUCAUACACUGCUGGUGGGAGUGCAAACUGAUGCAGCCACUAUGGAAAACAGUAUGGAGAUUCCUCAAAAAAUUAAGACUAGAACUACCAUACAAUCCAGCUAUUCCAAUGCUGGGUAUUUAUCCAAAGAACAUGAAAACACCAAUGCAUAAAGAUACAUGCACAACUGUGUUCAUUGCAGCAUUAUUCACAAUAGCCAAGACUUGGAAGCAACCUAAAUGCCCAUCAAGGGACGCAUGGAUAAAGAAGAUGUGAUAUAUAUACACAAUGGAAUACUACUCAGCCGUAAGAAACAAUGAAAUCCAGCCAUUUGUGACAACAUGGAUGGACAUUGAGGGUAUUAUGCUAAGUGAAAUAAGUCAGAGGGAGAAGGUCAAAUAUCAUAUGAUCUCACUCAUAAGUAGAAGAUAAAAACAAUAACAAACAAACACACAGAGACAGAGAUUGGAUUGGUGGUUACCAGAGGGGAAGGAGGGAGGGAGGUGUGCAAAACGGGUGAUUAGGCACGUGUGUAUGGUGAUGGAUUGUAAUUAGUCUUGGGGUGGCGAACACGAUGUAAUCUAUGCAGAAAUAGAAGUAUAACGAUGUACACCUGAAAUUUAUACAAUGUUAUAAACCAAUGU